UACGGAGGGUGCAAGCGUUGUCCGGAAUCACUGGGCGUAAAGGGCGCGUAGGCGGCUCAUGAAGGCUGUGGUGAAAGUCCGGGGCUCAACCUCGGAUCGGCCGUGGCGACUCGUGGGCUGGAGCACUGUAGAGGCGGGUGGAAUUCCGGGUGUAGCGGUGGAAUGCGUAGAGAUCCGGAAGAACACCAGUGGCGAAGGCGGCCCGCGUGGGCAGUGGCUGACGCUGAGGCGCGACAGCGUGGGGAGCAAACAGG
rnacentral:rRNA from 1 species